ACGAACGCUGGCGGCAUGCCUAACACAUGCAAGUCGAACGGGAUCCAGGCUUCGGCCUGGUGAGAGUGGCGGACGGGUGAGUAACGCGUGGGAACCUGCCCAAUGGUCUGGGAUAACCGCGGGAAACUGCGGCUAAUACCGGAUAAGCCCGAGAGGGGAAAGAUUUAUCGCCGAUGGAGGGGCCCGCGUCCGAUUAGGUAGUUGGUGAGGUAACGGCUCACCAAGCCGACGAUCGGUAGCUGGUCUGAGAGGAUGAUCAGCCACACUGGGACUGAGAUACGGCCCAGACUCCUACGGGAGGCAGCAGUGGGGAAUAUUGGACAAUGGGGGCAACCCUGAUCCAGCAAUGCCGCGUGAGUGAUGAAGGCCUUAGGAUUGUAAAGCUCUUUUGGCGGGGACGAUGAUGACGGUACCCGCAGAAUAAGCCCCGGCUAACUUCGUGCCAGCAGCCGCGGUAAUACGAAGGGGGCGAGCGUUGUUCGGAAUUACUGGGCGUAAAGGGCGCGUAGGCGGCGACCCAAGUCAGAUGUGAAAGUCCUGGGCUUAACCUGGGGACUGCAUUUGAUACUGGGUUGCUUGAAUGCAGGAGAGGAUAGCGGAAUUCCCAGUGUAGAGGUGAAAUUCGUAGAUAUUGGGAAGAACACCGGUGGCGAAGGCGGCUAUCUGGACUGUGAUUGACGCUGAGGCGCGAAAGCGUGGGGAGCAAACAGGAUUAGAUGCCCUGGUAGUCCACGCCGUAAACGAUGAAUGCUAGACGCUGGGGAGCAUGCUCUUCGGUGUCGCAGCUAACGCAUUAAGCAUUCCGCCUGGGGAGUACUGUCGCAAGCUUAAACUCAAAGGAAUUGACGGGGGCCCGCACAAGCGGUGGAGCAUGUGGUUUCAAUUCGACGCAACGCGAAGAACCUUACAACCCUUGGCAUCGGAAGCUCAUGGGACCUGUAGAGAUAGGUCCUUUCUCGUCAGAGACUGGCUGCCACAAGGUGCUGCAUGGCUGUCGUCAGCUCGUGUCGUGAGAUGUUAGGGUUAAGUCCCGCAACGAGCGCAACCCUUCCUCUAGUUGCCAUCAUCUCGAGGCGGGCACUCUAGGGAAGAACUGCCGGUGACAAAGCCGGAGGAAGGGGGGAUGACGUCAAGUCCUCAUGGCCCUUAUGGGUAGGGCUUCACACGUGCAUACAAUGGCCGGUGACAGAUGGGUUAGCCAAAGGCGCGAGCCUGAGCCGAAUCUCCAGAAAGCCGUCGUCAGUUCCGGAUUGCAGUCUGCAACUCGAGCUGCAUGAAGUCGGAAUCGCUAGUAAUCGCGGAUCAGCACGGCGCGGUGAAUACGUUCCCGGGUCUUGUACACACCGCCCGUCACACCAUGGGAGUGGGGUUCUACCAGAAGUAGGUGCGCGAACCGCAAGGGAGCCGCUUACCACGGUAGGGCUUCAGGACUGGGGUG
rnacentral:rRNA from 1 species